rnacentral:rRNA from 1 species
UACGAGUGCUUCAAGCGUUAUCCGGAAUCAUUGGGCGUAAAGGGUGUGUAGGCGGUUUUGUUAGUCUUGUGUAAAAUCUCCCGGCUCAACCGGGAACUCGCACGGGAAACGGCAAGACUGAGAGGAUGGUAGGGGUCUCUGGAACUCAUGGUGUAGCGGUGAAAUGCGUUGAUAUCGAUAGGAACUCCGGUGGCGAAGGCGGCAUACUGGACCACAUCUGACGCUGAGGCGCGAAAGCCAGGGGAGCAAACGGG